ACUUAGAAGUUUAAACUCUCUCUCAUUUCCCCUCUCCAAAACUUGCAACCCCUAGUAGAUUUCCUCUCCAAAAAGAUUUCCAAUCGAGUCCCAAAAUCUUGAUUCUUAGUUCCUAGCUUGAAGAUCCAAGAAUAUAGAAAAGAGUUUGUGGAGGUUGUCUUCAAUCUAGGAGUUUUCAAGAAGAUCUAGGAGCCAACUCAAGAUCUUGAGAGGGCUAAGAAUACUGAAAAGAUCGAGGCAUCAAACAAAGGUAAAC